CCUUUAAAGAAAGCGUAAUAGCUCACUAGUCGAGUCGGCCUGCGCGGAAGAUGUAACGGGGCUAAAUUGGUAACCGAAGCUGCGGAUGCAUGCUUGCAUGCAUGGUAGAGGAGCGUUCUGUAAGCCGUUGAAGGUGAACCGAGAGGUUUUCUGGAGGUAUCAGAAGUGCGAAUGCUGACAUGAGUAACGACAAGGGGAGUGAAAAACUCCCCCGCCGGAAGAUCAAGGUUUCCUACGCAACGCUAAUCGGCGUAGGGUGAGUCGGCCCCUAAGGCGAGGGAGAAAUCCGUAGUCGAUGGGAAACAGGUUAAUAUUCCUGUACUUUUUCUUACUGCGAUGGAGGGACGGAGAAGGCUAGGCCAGCACGGCGAUGGUAGUCCGUGUUUAAGGUAGUAGGCUGGAAUCUUAGGUAAAUCCGGGAUUCUAAGGCCGAGAACUGAUGACGAGUCCUCUUUUGGACGAAGUGGUUGAUGCCAUGCUUCCAGGAAAAGCUUCUAAGCUUCAGGUAAGAAGGAACCGUACUGUAAACCGACACAGGUGAUCAGGUAGAGAAUACCAAGGCGCUUGAGAGAACUCGGGUGAAGGAACUAGGCAAAAUGGUACCGUAACUUCGGGAGAAGGUACGCCGGUUUUGGUGAUGAGACUUGCUCUCUAAGCUGAGGCCGGCCGAAGUGACCAGGUGGCUGCGACUGUUUAUUAAAAACAUAGCACUCUGCAAACACGUAAGUGGACGUAUAGGGUGUGACGCCUGCCCGGUGCCGGAAGGUUAAUUGAUGGGGUUAGCGUAUGCGAAGCUCUUGAUCGAAGCCCCGGUAAACGGCGGCCGUAACUAUAACGGUCCUAAGGUAGCGAAAUUCCUUGUCGGGUAAGUUCCGACCUGCACGAAUGGCGUAACGAUGGCCACACUGUCUCCACCCGAGACUCAGUGAAAUUGAAAUCGCGGUGAAGAUGCCGUGUACCCGCGGCUAGACGGAAAGACCCCGUGCACCUUUACUAUAGCUUCACACUGGACUUUGGCUUAAUUUGUGUAGGAUAGGUGGGAGACUUUGAAGCAGCGACGCUAGUCGUUGUGGAGUCGUCCUUGAAAUACCACCCUGAUUACGUUGAGGUUCUAACUCAGGUCCGUUAUCCGGAUCGAGGACAGUGUGUGGUGGGUAGUUUGACUGGGGCGGUCUCCUCCCAAAGAGUAACG
rnacentral:rRNA from 1 species